GAAUCAAACUACUCUGCUACUUUCAUUCCUUCGAACAAUCCCGUUCAUACCAAUCUCUCUGCAACCAUGACUCCCUGCAGCUGCAACUCUUGCUGCUCCGGCGACUGCAACUCCUGCAACUGCUCCCAGUGCAAGGUAUGCUCUAUCUCUCA
rnacentral:sRNA from 1 species